rnacentral:rRNA from 1 species
CCGUCCUACGGGAGGCAGCAGUGAGGAAUAUUGGUCAAUGGGAGAGAUCCUGAACCAGCCAAGCCGCGUGAGGGAAGACUGCCCUAUGGGUUGUAAACCUCUUUUGUCAGGGAGCAAUUGGCGCUACGUGUAGCGUUAUCGAGAGUACCUGAAGAAAAAGCAUCGGCUAACUCCGUGCCAGCAGCCGCGGUAAUACGGAGGAUGCGAGCGUUAUCCGGAUUUAUUGGGUUUAAAGGGUGCGUAGGCGGACGGUCAAGUCAGCGGUAAAAAUGCGGUGCUCAACGCCGUACAGCCGUUGAAACUGG